GUUUUCUUUGCGUGGUAGUUUAAUAUUUUAUUCUUCAGUUUAUAAGCAGCCACAUUAAAGCUGCUUCACUAGCUUGCAUUCAUAGUUGCUAGCAGCUAGCUAGGUACACUUGACAGAGCUAUCUGAAGCCCCCUCAGACCUGCUGUCCAUGCACACUCCUAGGCAAAACGCUACUCUUGUAAGAAUAACACUCAUUGUGUAAGUCUCAAUCUCAACAUCCCCCCCCCCAAAAAAAAUCUCACCAGUAGUCACCAUUUAAAGGGUACAUUUUCAAAUUUUUCUUCCGUGGGGGCAUGCCCCUAGACCCCCCUACUGUUGCUAGGUUACCAACUUAGACCACCGUGGCUACAAAAAAAUCUAGAGGAAAUACUGCAAAUGAGUAUAUUAGGGUGUAAAAAAAAACGAUAUAAAGGGCUUUCACCAGGCUUAUAUAUCCAAGAGGUUAGACAUGAACCAUAACUUGUCUUUUUUGUUCUCUCUCUCCAAUGACAUAUGGGAUGGCCCUGUAAGUUGUGCAGCACUGUUAUACCAACCAAGAGUGACAUUUUAAAGCAUUACAGACUGCAACAUGGGACCUUUGGACACAGCCAUUCCUUGCCUUGCAUUCAUAUUAAUGAAGCGGAAUCAACAUUUAUGUCCCAACUGGACAGGUACACGCCAAAGCUCCUGGAGCUCUUCAGUGCAAAAGAAGGAGUGACUGCAGCGCAUCAAGAACUUGUUGAUGGAACUGAUACAGGACCCAAGUGCCUCUGCAGUGAAGAAGAGAGAUGUAACUGUGAGAUGCCUCAUAGAGUACAUGGGAGAGAGUGGACAGGAGCUAAUCUCUGACUACUGGAACUGCAGAGACCGCUGUUCAUGAGGACCUGGAAAUGAAGAAUAUGAGCAUCUACAUCUGUCGUGAGCCAAAUGCAGUAGGAAUCAUCAUUGAGGGAGUACCAGUCCUUACUCAUCUUGGAAACCUGGUCAAAGCAUGCUGCCUACUUCUGGGGUUGACGUAUGCACUUAAUCUUGAGUAUCCAUCCAAACUUUCCAAAACAUUUGAGGUGUUUCAAAGACUUUUUGUGGGACUUGACACACUGCGCCCAAAACCAACCCCCAAAUUCAUGACUCUCAAAAACAAGCUUCUAGCUUAGGCAGUAAGCCAUGACUGUCAGCUUGCACUUUUGAACAGCUAUUUUCUUGUGUCUGUUCAAAAUCAUUAUACAUUGUUCAUUGAGUGGAAUUCUUCAGAAUGUUGUAACAGUUUGUCCUGUUCAGGUUUUAUACAAAGCUCCAGGUCAUCGUUUCUGGUGUGUAAAUUAAGUUUUUUUAUGUUUUAUACACACUAAAUUGCCCUACUG